rnacentral:rRNA from 1 species
CGAAAUGCGAUAAGUACUGUGAAUUNCGGAAUUCAGUGAAUCAUCGAAUCCUUGAACGCACCUUGCG